GGGCGGCUAGCUCAGUGGUUAGAGCGUUCGGUUCACAUCCGAAAGGUCGUAGGUUCAACUCCUAUGCCGCCCACCA
rnacentral:tRNA from 1 species